AUGGCCCAGGAACCCCCCGAAGCAGGGUCCUGGCAUUGGGACCCUAGAUGGAGCAUUGGCAGUACUCAGUUAAUUUGCAAUGGCGGCUAUGUGAGUUGUUCUUGUGUGAGGCUCCAGCACGCUCAAAACGCCGCAGCCGCAGCGACCGUCAAGGUCCGCGGGGAGUCUGACAAGACUGCGAAGGUGCUAAAAAGGAGAAGACAGAAGCUCAGAAGGGUCGUGAUGCUUUUCCCGAGGCUGGACAGAAACUCAUCUAUGCCGGCAAGAUGCUGAGAGACGAUGUACCCAUUAGGGACUAUCACAUAGAUGAGACCAACUUUAUGGUCGUCAUGGUGACCAAGGCCAAAGCUGGCCAGGGACCUCAGCAGCCCCAGAGAGCCCACCCACUGCUGCUCCGAAGUCCUGCACCUCCUGCCCGCCUGCCCCUGCCUCGGGCAUGUCCCAUCCCUCACCUGCCGCCGGAGAGCGCCAGAGCGCAUCAGAGGAAUCAGCCCCUAUCACCUCCCCAGAGUCCGUGUCAGGCUCUGUUCCCUCUUCAGGUAACAGUGGGCGAGAGGAGGACGCGGCCUCCACGCUAGCGACUGGCUCUGAGUGCGAGAACCUGCUCAUGGAAAGUGUCCACGCGCUACCCGCGGGAGCAGGUCGCGGCCGCCGAGGGCCAGCUACAAACCCCACCGAGCCGCGGAGUACCUACUCACAGGAUUUCCUGGAAGCCCGAAGCCAGAACACGGCUCUGUCCAGGAGAGACAGGUGUCCGAGCAGCCGACCACAGAAGCAGGAGACAACCCCUGGAGCUCCUGCGGGACCAAUCCCAGUUCCAGAACGUGCUGCAGGUGAAUUCAACGGAGCCCUGCGCUGCCGCCCGCUUUACUCCAGCAACUGGGCCAGGAGAACCCUCAGCUUUUGCAGCAAAUUAGCCAGCACCAGGAUCAGUUCAUCCAGAUGCUGAACGAACCCGCUGGGGAGCUAGCGGGUAUCUCAAAUGUGGAGGGUGAGGUGGGCGCCAUAGUCGAGGAGGCCCCGCAGCAGAACCACAGCCACAUGACGCCUCAGGAGAAAGAGGCCAUAGAAAGGCUGAAAGCGCCAGGCUUCCCAGAAUGCCUGGUGAUCCGGGCCUGCUUCGCGCGUGAAAAAAAACGAGAACUUGCUGCCGAUUUCCUCUUGAGUCAGAACUUUGGUAACGGGUGA